UUGAAGUUUCUUCAUGAAAAUUGUAUAAUUUUUCUUUCGGAAUUUUGCUCAAAAAUAUAUUUUGAAAGAAUUUUUUCACUCCUCGAAACUCUCCUCAGUCCUUUUAAAGUUGUUUUUCGCGCUCACCGGCUUGAUCGAAUCACAGUGUUUGAUCGUUGGAAUUACCAUCCUAGAUUACUUACACCAAUAGCCAAUAAAUAUGUAUAUUUACAAUGGCUUGUAUUAACAAAUUAAUCAUGUACUGAAUAUAUCAAACUGGGAGCUAAUUUAGGUGUGCACUGUGCAGUGAUUAUUAUUUUGUGCUGUGCUUAGUGAUGAAUUUUCAAAAAUAGUUCACAUCAAGCUAUAUAAGCGUCACUAAACAAGGAAACUGAGUUCAAACUGUCCAACUAUACGCGGACUGGCAGGUUUCCUAUUGCUUAAGCGAUGUACAGUGAUAUAGAAUUUUUAUAAGAUUAAUAUGGAAAUAAUCCCUGUAACCUUUUGUUCAAGCCGUUAGUUUAUGAUGUCAAUUUUUUAGAAUCUUGAUUAAUUUCAAAAAAUCGAGUGGAAUAGAAUCAUCUUCACUCUCUCUAGCCUCGUUAAAACACAUCACCAUUGAUUGGGCAGCGAACUCCAGGCUGUAAAAAAUAAAAAAAUAAAUAAA